GCCGAGCUGGGUAACGUCAGCUUGUGACCUGAGUGGGGGCUUUAAGAUGAUUGAACAAGGCUAUGGCUUGCUUAGCUAGUCUGGAGGCUGCAACUUCCUGGCCUGCCCACUCCAGUGGAGGGAUAACAGGCUGCUGCUCCUCCAGACCCCAAAUGAGCUUGGUGAGCCUUGUUCUUGAACAAUCAUUUUU
rfam:Vigna angularis cultivar Jingnong 6 chromosome 8, whole genome shotgun sequence.